UCUGUUGUGAAAGCCCUGGGCUCAACCUGGGAAUUGCAGUGGAUACUGGGUCACUAGAGUGUGGUAGAGGGUAGCGGAAUUCCCGGUGUAGCAGUGAAAUGCGUAGAGAUCGGGAGGAACAUCCGUGGCGAAGGCGGCUACCUGGACCAACACUGACACUGAGGCACGAAAGCGUGGGGAGCAAACAGGAUUAGAUACCCUGGUAGUCCACGCCCUAAACGAUGCGAACUGGAUGUUGGGUGCAAUUUGGCACGCAGUAUCGAAGCUAACGCGUUAAGUUCGCCGCCUGGGGAGUACGGUCGCAAGACUGAAACUCAAAGGAAUUGACGGGGGCCCGCACAAGCGGUGGAGUAUGUGGUUUAAUUCGAUGCAACGCGAAGAACCUUACCUGGUCUUGACAUCCACGGAACUUUCCAGAGAUGG
rnacentral:rRNA from 1 species